UGUUUCCCAUAGUCUUUUUAGAGUUUAAAAAAAAGUUUAUUAGUAUCGUGGAAUAUAAAAAAAAGUCUGAAGCCCCAGUGCUCACUCACACUAAAUUAAACCGCUUAUUUGUAGAUUUAGAACCAGCAGCCUAAACAGAAACUACAUUCUGCAAAUUAAUUAUUCAUUAGGCUUGUCUUCUUAAAAAAACACUUUCAUCCAUUUUCUUUCCUUCUUCUCUUCUAUCUACAGUCAAAUGCCAAGCCAAGAACACCACAAAUUGUUUUUCUUUCUUAUUCAGUUAGAGGGUUUUGUGGAUUAGUACAGGCUUUGAUGUUGCUCAAAAAUUACAGAGACCUGCCAUUAAUUAAAGUCUGUGUAUGAUCAUUGCACGUGAUGACUAACAAAAAUCCUGCAAUCUCACUGCCUCUUGUACCGGAUUUGAUGCAGCCUCCACAGUCGAGUUAUGCAACUAUUUACACUUAACUGUGUUUGGCUAGGGAUGAUAAAACUAAAUAUGGCCAAACUAAUCAAAAGAUUUGCUUUGUUUUCCAUGAUGCAUAUUUAUGACGUUGAGUCCAAACCGAACUGUUGAUCGGGAACAUCUAGUACUUUUAGUGCUGCUAAAAAUACCAUUUGUUUAGCUUUCCUUCACUUUGAAAUUAUGACAUGACCAAGUGUGAAGAAAAGAAAUGGUUUCCUGCUCUGAGUUUGAAACACUCAUCAGUUCUCUGUCAAAUCUCUGUUAUUGACUGUCACCUUUUCACAUUGUGAUAAAAAGUGUAUUAAUCAUGAAUCUUGAACGGGAGGGAGGGCUGAUCAAGACUUUUCUUCAUGAGGUUUUAUUCUGUAACAAUACCCCUAACUGUCAGUCUAAAUUAUUGACUAAAGUAAAGAAGAAACCGUGAAAUAAGACGGCUUGUUGUCAUCGGUUUUAAAUUCAAGGAUUCAAAGCUUUUAUUUGUUAAUAAGUAAAUGUGUAGUUAAAUGCAGUGUGGUAUACACAUUAAAACUAAUGUGAAAAAUAGGAUUGAAGAAAUCCAGAAAGUAA